rnacentral:rRNA from 1 species
UGGGGGGAGGCUUACACAUGCAAGUCGAGCGGUAACAGAGAUAGCUUGCUAUCUGCUGACGAGCGGCGGACGGGUGAGUAAUGCUUGGGAAUAUGCCUUAUGGUGGGGGACAACAGUUGGAAACGACUGCUAAUACCGCAUAACGUCUACGGACCAAAGGGGGGGAUGCUUCGGCACCUCCCGCCAUUUGAUUAGCCCAAGUGAGAUUAGCUAGUAGGUGAGGUAAGAGCUCACCUAGGCGACGAUCUCUAGCUGGUUUGAGAGGAUGAUCAGCCACACUGGGACUGAGACACGGCCCAGACUCCUACGGGAGGCAGCAGUGGGGAAUAUUGCACAAUGGGCGAAAGCCUGAUGCAGCCAUGCCGCGUGUGUGAAGAAGGCCUUCGGGUUGUAAAGCACUUUCAGCGAGGAGGAAAGGUUAGUGGUUAAUAGCCACUAGCUGUGACGUUACUCGCAGAAGAAGCACCGGCUAACUUCGUGCCAGCAGCCGCGGUAAC